rnacentral:lncRNA from 1 species
GACCUCCAAACCAUGGCCCUCCAACUACAAAAUACCGCUCACUGGUUGGGACAGAUGAUGCAACAAAGGGGCCUCAACACCCCAGUGAAUGUGUCGCCAGUGAUAGAAGAACCUAUAACCAAUGAACCUCAACCUACCCACAACCAUCCCCAAACAGUUAGCCACGAAACCGGAGAAAGGGAGAGAAGAGCUGGGGAAGAGGAAGAACCGGAGGCCAGGGUUCAUGGAAGAAGGAUGAGAGAGAUGAUUGAAAACGAUGGGGCCGACAGUUAUUCUGCCGAAACAACCAAGUGGACGAGAAGCGAAGCGGAAGAGGAGG